UUCGUAAUGACAGAUAAGUAACACGCUCCUGAUUCGUUUUAACCGUUUUGAUGUGUAUCGCGACAGUUAAAUAGCAUAAGGGGCCGUUACGAACGGCGAUCGCAAAACUGAAAAAUAUCGCAAAGUGACUUUUCCCCCCAAAUUAUUCAGCCCUAAAUAGAAAUUUGUUCAUGUGACAUUACUGAGGACGUGGUGAAAGAUGUAGAGGGCGUAGGUCAGACUCUAAGAGUGAUAGGAUGGAGGGGAGGGGGGGGGUCCGUCAUCCCCCUGUUUCCGACAUUCCUGUAUGUUAUAUGUUCUCUUCCUGUCAUGUUGGUUUCCAAUGGGCUGUGCCCUGCGCCUCGUUAGGAAGGCUCCACGAUUUCUAACCCCUUUAUAAGAUAAGCUGUUAGACGAUGGAUGAAAGGUGCAGUUCAACGUAUAUUCCACUAGAUGGAUGCAUCUCCUUAAAAAACCACCAGUCUGAGACUUUGGCCUUACCAUAGAAGACAACUUUAUUGAUCCCAGGGGGAAUUGUUUUACAGCAGUGAGACACAAUCGUGUGAAAAAACAUGUCAGCCUCAUCAGAGGACCAGUUCCUUGUCAGCACCUGCACCAGCUAAGCACCAGUAAAAAAAGGCUGGCAGCACAUGUGAUCGCCGCAGAUUUAGAGACCUGCAUCUUCUUGCUGAGAUUAGAUAAGCAGAUCUGAAAUCAGCAGGAAUCCCCCACAGGAGUCCAAGAGAAAGUUUCACUAAGGGCUCUCUAGGGUGGAUACAUGCAUGCAAGGCUGUGUCAUGCCACUUGAGGAGGGGCCACUGAUUUACAGAACUACAUGUGUGCUAUUGUUUGAGAGUUUCAUGGCGGAUUGCCCAGCUUGGAAGCAUCACUGGUGUAGCUGGUGUUCCAGAUGACCAGUCUGAC